rnacentral:rRNA from 1 species
UACGAAGGGGGCUAGCGUUGCUCGGAAUCACUGGGCGUAAAGCGCACGUAGGCGGAUUGUUAAGUCAGGGGUGAAAUCCUGGAGCUCAACUCCAGAACUGCCUUUGAUACUGGCGAUCUUGAGUCCGGGAGAGGUGAGUGGAACUGCGAGUGUAGAGGUGAAAUUCGUAGAUAUUCGCAAGAACACCAGUGGCGAAGGCGGCUCACUGGUCCGGUACUGACGCUGAGGUGCGAAAGCGUGGGGAGCAAACAGG